UUAUGAAAAGAUUAUUUCAUUAAUUUUCAAUGAAUGAUUACAAGACUAAUCUGUUUUAUUUAUACUAAAUUACAACAGAUUAAUUAACUCUAUUUUACUAACGGACCGAAUGUAACACAGACUAAGCCCAAUUGAAUACAUUCGUUUAUUAUUAGCCCAAUUGCAAUUAUUGAAACUUUUGCAGAGAUGACCCUUGACUUCAUUGAAUCCUUUCUUUGAGUCUUGGUCAUUUUAUCUGCACAGUAAAACUUAAUAAACAAUUAGCAAAUAGUUUUAUAAGUAUUGAUAAUUUCAUUUAGGUCCUAUGAGUUUAGACAGUUAAUUUACAGAUCAUUUAGAGAUCUGUCUUAACUCUUUAAACCCUCAAUUAACCUCUUAAUUCUGAAUUCUCUUUUAAUUCCUUUAACUUCCUCUCCAGAUACACCGCCUCCGUUUCCCACCCACCGUGAUGACGAAGAAGGCCGUCUGGAAGACGCCCCGACCGCCUCCGGGACAGGCAAAGGCAACGGAUGCGUUGGAACCAUCAUCACCGCGGAAUCCGAUCUAGUCGUCAAGAGACCAUCAUUAUAACCACUCGGCGUCCUCGAAAUCGGUGAAGAAGAAGACGCUGCUUCCUUAUCCUUAUUCUUAUUCUUCCUCCCUCCACGGUCCCCCUGGAAGUACAUCCGGAAAUCUGCAUCGAAAACUUGUUUUAAAUUCCUCUGCGGGGAGAAUCGCGUCUGGAUCUGAUCCUCCUUCUUCCCACCGAAGCCUCUCGUCCAUAUGAAACUGUUGUGCGCUGAUCCAGACGCUGAGGUGGGAGUCGAAUUGUUGGACGACGGUUCCGAUGUUGAAGACGAAGCCGAUUUCGAUGCCUUGAACCAGCCCAUGACCGACCAGAUCUAGAUGUAGGUAGUAGAACAACUGAUUAUGGAAGAUCCUGUAACCCUAGAUCCACCACGCUCAUGAUUUUAGUUGAAAAUUGAAACACGUCUUUUUGGGGAAUGGUUGAGGAAGCAGAGAACUUGGAAUUGAGUGCAGAUGGUAGUGGAAAGUCAAAAUUGAUUGGUGAUUAAAGCAUUAUUAUGAUUAAUAUAAUCUGCUCAGAUUCUCCACCAACCACCAUACUUUCGGACACUUGAUUUUAUUUAUUUUAAAAACAAAUAGGUAGAGUAAAAAAAUAUGAAAUGAAAAUAAUGUGCAUAAAUUUUAAGAUGGGUUUUCUAUUAUAUUUAAUACUUUAUAAUCAAAAAAGACGGAAAAUAAUAAAUUUAUUGAAUAAUUGUAUAGUAUUUUUUUUUUUAUUCUAUCUUUUUUUUUGUCAACUGAUUUUAAAUUCAACCUUGUAUUGGAAUAAUGUUUAUUUUUCAAUUCUAAAUAAAAUUUAACGUCGUCAAAUAUCAAUUAAAAAUCAUCAUUUAGUCGAUUAGGUAAGCGAGUUAUUAUAAAACAAAAAAAGAGGCAAUGUCACAUGCAGUCUACCUCACACCUUCCGUAUUGGUCCAAUCAAGUAAUCUUGCGAUCGUUUAGAUCUUCACAACCAUUGAUGACUGACAUUUGAUUUCUAGAACGAGUAUGCCUACAUCGUUUUUACGUAGUGGGCGUAAAACAAUGGUUGGGUGAAAAAAUCUUGAUUUGCUUCUGACAUCUUUUUCUUUUCUUAGGGAAAACUCUGUCAUCACCUUUCGGUUCACUACUUUGUAAGAGACUUGAUAUAUCGUUGUUUCUUACUUUUAUAAGGAGCUCAAACCGUGGAGAUUAAGCUUCCUAUGGCGAUGAUCAUCAGAAACCAUACAUUUUUUAGCCGAAUGAACAAGAAUUUUACCUUUAAUUGAAUUUUGACCCAUUCUAAGCUUUAAGUUAUUGGUUGGUUUAUUGGUUAAUUCAUAUAUAAAAUUAAGGUGAAAUUCAGGUGAAAAUUUAUUAUUUGAAAACUAAAUGAGAUUUCUGAUCAUAUAUUUACUUGAUUUAAUCAUGAAUAAUAAUAUUUUGACAAUAAUAUCGAGUAAUUACUUUGGCCCCAUGUGGGUUAAGAUUAAAAAUAAAUCAAUUGUUAAAAUCAAUUUCUCUAAAAUCAUCAAAUGAUGGGUUCUCAUCUGAAACUAAUCUUAUAAAAUUAUAAAACAAUAACAAAGUCUAUUAAAAUCAAGUUAGACUUAGCCAGACUUUAGGUCGACUCGGAUCGGACUCUAAAUAUGGUUGAGUCGUCAGGUCUCGGGUCAAAAUUAAAUUUUAGAGUCGAAAAACGGAUAAUGAUUGUAAACCAUAAAAUGUCUUAUAAAUAAUGGAUUUAUCAAUAUCUUAUUUUGAGUAUCUCAUAAGAAACAUUGUUUAAAUUUAUAGAGGAAAGUUAUAGAAAGCCUAUGUCAAAUGAGUCAAAAAACGGUCAUUCAAUCUGGUUCAUUCAUUUUUAAAAAUGUCUCACAACCGUCCAUCCAAUCUGAUCCAUUCAUUUUAAAAAUAAACUUUUUCGGUAUUCUAUUAAAAAUUAAGAAUGGACGAUCCAGAUUAAACAUGCGUUUUUGGGCUCACCAUGGGCUCACUUGAAAAUUACUCUCAUUGGACCCAAAGGACCAGCGUCGCAGUCUCACUAACCCAUGCCGCAGUGGGGCACAAGUAGCGAUCAUGGGCGUCCGACCCAGAGGUUGUUGCAAUAUGGUUAAGCUUGUAAAUGAUAUACCGAAAUCCGUAUUCGUAUCUGUUUUCGAAUACGAAUAGACACUCAAAUAUGUUUAUUCGGAUUUCGGACAUGCGAAUUCGGAUUUUCGGAUUUUCGGAUUCGGGAUCCAAAUUCGGAUACCAAAAAUGAUAUCCGAAAAUUAUCCGAACAGAUUCGGAUAUCUGCAAUAUCUGUCGUUAAAAUCCGAAUUCGGUUGAUAAUUUGGGAUUCGGAUAUUCGAAUAAAUAUAAAUUGACUUCUGCAUAUCCGGAUAUCCGGAUUUUAAAAUGAUUAAUUAACUUUAUUAAAAGUGAUUUUAUAUUUUUAUAAUUUUAUUUUAAAAUUUUUAUAAAAAAUUAUCCGGAUUCGGAUUUUCUUAUUCGGAUAUUAUGCGGACGGAUUCAGAUACCCUGGUACCUGAGCCGAAUUCGACCGAUAUACAAGUCUAAGUAUGGUGAACUUGGAGGGUCCUAAUCUAGACGGGGCGCGAGUUCAGUAUCCCUAAAACCUAGUCUAUAUAAGGGAAACCAGGGGUUGGAAGUUAAUGAGUGAAUAAGUGUCUCAUCAUUGAGAUAAAAUCAGAAAGAAAUAUGAAAAGAAUGAAUAUGAUGUUUGUUUACAACAAAAUUACAUAAAAAUAAUCAAAAUGACAUGACUAUAGCCAUUGCUCUGCAGUUGGGGCAUUUGUUUUGAUUCAACAACCAUUGUUUUAUGCAAUCAAAGUGAUAAUCAUGACCGCAAUCCAACACAGCAAUCGUCUCAUUUUGUAGAAUUUGUUCUUGGCAAAUCGAGCAUGAGUUAUUUUCUUGGCUUGAGUUAGCUUGGGAUUUUCGAAGAUUCUUUGAGAUGAUUUCUUCAGAUAACAUAUGACGAUGAUCACCACCAUUAACUAGGUUCCUUCUUCGAUCAUGGCGAGGAUGAUGAACACUUGGUCGAACACGGUUCGCACGAGGCAUGGUUUGAGCAUGGUUUGAAACACGGUUCACAUUGACAUCAUCUAUUAUAAACUGCAAGGAAAAUAAGUUGAAAAAUAAACAGAGGUUUAAUUUAAUUUGAAAAAAAAUAACCUUUUAAUUAAUUUCUAAUUCAUUGAUCAUCAAAGAUAAAAAUAAACUUACAUGACCAUUGAUCAUGUUUGAAAUUGUCGAUGGACGAGGUCGAUACAGCAUGGUUUGGGCAAUGACACCAUUUAUUAUGAACUGGAAGAAAAAUAAUUAAGUUGAAAAAUAAUUAAACGGAGGUUUAGUUUAAUUUGGAAAAAAAAUCCUUUUGAUUUCUAAUUCAUCCUGCAUUAAUCAAAAAUGAAAGAUAGAAACAAACUUACAUGACCGUCGAUCAUGUUUGAAAUUGCUGAUGGACGACGUUGAUGCAACAUGAUUUGAGCAAUGACAUCUUCCAUAAUAAUAAACUGCAAGAAAAACAAUUAACCGGAUGAGAAUUAAUAUUCAAGGAUCAUAUAGUAGAAAAACAAUAGAAGAUAUUCUAAAAAAAAAGAGUAUAAAAAAAAAAUUAAAGAUUAGAUGAAUCCUAAAAAUAAUAUGAUGAAAUGUUGGAGACGAAAUGUUGGAUUCUAGUAGGACCAGUGAACCUGCGGCCUGAGGGUUAGGUUCACCCUUGAACCUGAGCGCAUUGAAUGGCAUUUCUUCCACAAAUUCCGGUAAUUCCCGGCCGGCCGUUCUGCUUCAUCGAUGAAAGUAUGCUAGGGGUUGUUGCUUAGCCAGCCUUCCACCGACUUGCAGUGGCCGUAGAAAAGUGCAGUGCAAGCGACUACGUUGGUGUAGUUGUCCUUUUCUCUAGCAGCAUUUGCCAUGCUCGAUAGAUGUUCGUCUAUGGCCGCCAUCGCGGCACGAUAUCUCUUCUAAUCUGAUAAUAUAUAGCUUUUUGGUCCGACGUGAGGAGUCAACUAGAAUCCAGAAACAUGCAUGCCAAAACAACAAGCAAGCUUCGAGAUUUCGAAAAUACUAUGAAUAGCAGCAGAAGAAGUCAUCACUCUUCCCAUCAGACAUGCAAGUCAUUCAACGUCCAUGUCGGAAGAUGCCGGCAACUCUAAUCGUAUGGAUCUGUUCAUGGAUGAUUUCCUUGAGAUGGAGAAGCUCGCAUGUUUGUCGACAACCAUUAAGAUCAACGUAAGCUUUUGGAGAAGGUUUUGAAGAGGAUUGCACGCAUAGGUUCUGGGAACUCACCUAGCACCCACCGAUGAGGUCGAAUCGACCUCGCCGGUGCUGGAAUCGCCAAAGAAAAGGAUUGCGUCGUCCUAUGGAUGAUGCAUUUGAUAUGGACGACGCAUGGGGAAUCGAAGCAAUAUAAAAAGGGUUUAGGAAUGAGGAAGAUUUUACCUGGAAGUUGAGCUGCUGAGGAGGUCGCCGGAAGAGAUGAAGAGAGGUCGUCGGAAGUUGAAGUUAAAGUUGGAAGUUUCUUUCUUUUUUAUACUAAAUUUUAAAAUUGAGAACAGACUUACCAUGUUUGAUUUUAGCGCCAAAUUUGCCGCCAUUAUGUUUUUUCUUUUCUUUUCUGUUUUAGGUCUGACUACUGUCAUUAUUUACUCUCUUUAUCCAAUUCCACAUCCCUCCUCGUAUCGGAAAGAUGGCGGCUUCGGCAGCGGCUAAUGAAUGGGCUGUCGGUGGAUCAAUUCUCCAAUUGCCGUCGCAGUGGAGGAGUCAUCAUCUAGUGGUUAGACCACGUCUGACUGUAAUUUCCCUCAACUCUCGCACGUUCUUGCUUCGCUGCUGCAGCGGUGGCGGUGCUAGUGACAGCGGCAGCAAGGAUUGGGACUGGAAAAAGUGGAGCCAGCACUUCUUUGAGAUCGACAAGGUCGAGUCCUCAACGUCUGUUCUACAGGUAAUUUCAUUCGAUUUCUGUUAUUUUUAUUUUUUUUCAUUAAAAUCCAGGUCUGAUUUAUCAGGGUUUUAUUUUGCCCUAAUUUUAUUUUGUCCCCCAAAACCACACGAUUAUUCCAUUCAUUCACCUUGUUAAUUUUAUCGGACAUUCAUUAAGACACUUCAAACAUGUCUAUUUGGUAUUCUACUCUGUUUUAAUUUAAUGUUGUUGAAUGCUGACGAGUAUGGUAUCAGCUUGAACUUGAAGAUGCUAUUAUGAAGGAGAAUUUUUUGGAAGCGGCUAAACUGAAAAAGUCAUCGUCGAAGCAAAAUCAAAGGAUAUUGUGUCAAAAGUUAUGUCUGAAUUGAAGGUUUGUGUAUUUUUUCUAAUUAUCAUAGCACCGAUCCAUGUUUGAUUCUAAAACUUGUAUUUCUGCAAUUUGCAGACGGCUAUAGAUGAAGAACGCUACUAUGACGUAUCGAGACUAUGUAAGCUUGCAGGAAGAGGACUGGUAUAAUGUUUAUUGUUGCGGUAUUUUUUGUACAUUCAAAAAAAUCAUGUAACUAUGCACAACACAUUCAAUCUGCUGAGGUUAGUGUGAAUUUUCGGAGAUGGCAUUUUAGCUCAUGUUAUAAAAGUAUUUAUUUCAGAGGCAUUUUUUCUUCCGGUCGAUCUUAAAUUCUGAUGCAAUAAAUCUUUCAUCUUUCAUUGUGAAAAUUGAGCUUCUUUAUCUGCAACUGCUUUGUUAUUUGGUUAAAAUUUAAUUGUUUGAUAUAAUCGAGUUGGAGUUUCAAACACAUUACCUGGUCUUAUUUUAUAUCAUCAAUGAAUAUCAAAGUGUCUUAAAUUUAAAAUUUUCAUUAAAUUAAAAUUUUACCCUUUAUCUUAAUAAAAAAUAGGAAUCAAGGGAAAUAUUUUAAUUGUUUAUAAAAACAGUCAAAUUUAGUCUAUUGUAUUUUUGUUAUUUGUCCUCAACUAUUUGGUGUAGUGGUAAAAACCUUUUUGUCCGACACAAAAGGUUGGAGGUUCACAUCUCAUGGACAUCCAUAAAAUUUUUUAUACUAUUUUCAAUUUGGUGUAGUAUUGUUAUUAUUUAUUAGAAACUAUUCAAACUACAGUCUACUGCUUAAUUGCAUAAAAAAAAACUAGUCCACUGACUGGAAUAUCCUAGAAAAUUUUCUUCCGGAGCAUCGAUAUUCAUUGCAUUCGUUCAACUCCUGGUAGGAUGGUGGGGCUGGAUGGUCAAAAGAUUCUGAUGAUUCUUUUGGAAGAAUUAUACGAAUAACCCCUUCUGUAGGAAGGUUUGUUGGAAGGACAUUCAGUCCAAGGUAACACAUGGAUUCUAUUUAAUCUUAUAUUUACAUUUUUCAAGUUCAUUUCAUUUUCCAAUUGUCUUCUAUAAACUGCCCAGUUCUUCACAUGCUAUUUUCCUUUCAGGCAACUUGUUACCGGGUCUUUAGGAACUCCAUUGUUUGAGAUAUUUUUAGUAGUGGAUGAUGAUGGGAAAUACACAAUGCAGGUCUUGAUCCUUUAUUCCUUUGUAAUCUCUAACUUUACUGAUUGAAUCUUAUUGUUAUUGAAAUUUAUAUGUGCUAUCUGCUUAGCUCUGAUGCCGCUUCUUUUAAACACAGUGUUCUUGCAGCCUGCCAAAGAAAAUUCUAAAUUUUCAUCCUCAUCCUCAUCAGUGUCUCUUUUGCUUUCUCCAACUCCAUCGAAACCAGUUGACGAGAAUACAUCUUCUGUGGACGAAAGCCUUCAAAGUACAAAUGACUCGGAAGAAAAAAAUAAUAUUGACACAAAGGAUGAUACUGAAGAAGGAAUAAAAAGUGUGAUAAGCUUUCUAAAAGAUAGAAUUCCUGGUUUCAAAGAUAAGGAACUGAACAUUAAUGUGUCUGCUGAAGUUAAGAUCGAUGAAUUAUUAUUGGAGCAUUUAGGGUUGAAUGAUGAUGAUGAAUUAUUAGCAGAGUACAUAGUUCAGAAUGUUGUUUCUUCUUCUGCUGCUUCUGAUGAUGACGUCGAUGAGAAUGAUGAUGAUGUAAGUACUAUCAGUUCAAGCAGUUCUGAAGACGAGCCUUUUAACAUAGAUAAUAGUCAACUUGAGACAGGUCCUGUAAGUGAUGAUAAUGAUACAAUCGAAAGUGGCAAAAAAUCCAGCUUGAAGUUUUAUAUUGGAGGUAAAAUUCAUAAUAGAGAAGACAUCCUAUCCAAAACUUAUGUCCGCAUCCCAGCAGAAAUUAAAGAUGUUGAUAAGGAUAGCUUCAUGCUUCAUAUACCUGGAAGAAAAACUGAUUCGAAUACUGGGUUGAGUAAAGAAUCUAAAGCUAAAGUUGCAGCUAUUGCUGCAAAAGCAAUUUCAGAACUCAUGCCACCAGAGGUUGUAAAGGCAUUUUUGAAUGUGGAUAAAGCACCUGCUAAGGUAAUAAUAUUUUCUCUCUUUUAUAUAUACAAAACUUAACUCCUGUUUGUAAAAAAAAUUAUACGGAAUUAUGCAAUCACUUGAUAUAUUGGUGGUUAAAAGAGCGUCAUUGUUCAACACACAGAGAAUGGGGUUUCAUGCUUUCAACCUCAAAUUUACUUGCAAUUUACCAAUUUUAAAUCGUCUGUGUAAUGUUUGAUUUGGUAUGUCACCCAAAGUAGAUUACACUUCUAUCAUUUUCUUAACUUUUAAAAUGAGUGAUUAUGAGACCAUCAGUGUUGUGUAAAUAUACCAUGAAUUUAAUUUUACACAAUUAUUUAACCUAUUCUUUUACUGAAUUCUAAUCGAUUGUUCUACAUAGGUUGCUAGAGAUGUAAAGGAGAUUAUUAAGCUAGCAGUAACUCAUGCUCAGCAAAGAAACAGAAUAUCUGGGACGAUGAGCUUUAAUAGGAUCAAUGCUGAUAGCAGUGGUCUGGAUCCAUUUGAAGGUAAGUUAAUUUGAUAUAUUUUUACAUAAUAAUCAUUUUUUUUAUUAACAUGCAGGCUUAUAUGUUGGAGCCUUUGGUCCUUAUGGUGCUGAAGUUGUACAAUUACAACGAAAGUUUGGUCAUUGGAACAAUGCAGAUGAAACUACAAACGGAUCUACGUUGGAGUUUUUUGAGUAAGUUGAAGCAGUAAAGUUAACAGGGGAUCUAAAUGUCCCUGCAGGACAGGUCUUUAAUUACCACUUCAAAUUAGAUCAGUUCACCCAUUUUUCUAGCAUUUUUGGUUCUUGAUUUUUAAACGCUCCAUUUCCCCCUCUUUUUUGACAUGGGCACAGGUUACAUUUCGUGCUAAAAUUGGCAAAGGGAGUCGUCGUCCAACCCGUGGGAUCUACCCCGAGGAACUUGGCGUGGUAUAUUACUUUUUUCUUUCCUUAUUAAUUACUUUGAAGUUUGAACACACAAUUCUCAGGUGAUUAAUUUAAUGUUCGUCUGUUUGCAAAACAAAAAAAAUGUUUGAUUGGUCCUAUAGAUUUCAAGUUACAAGGGUCAGGGUCGAAUAGCAGAACCAGGAUUCCGGAAUCCUCAAUGGGUUGAUGGGGAAUUACUACAACUUAAUGGAAAGGUUUACUCAAUAAAACACUCUCAUUAGCAGUAAUUCAUUUACCAUAUUUCAUUCAUUUUCGUGGCGUUUAAUGAUUGAUCAAUCUCAUCAUUUUAGGGAAGUGUUAAAUAUAGUUUCAGAUGGAUGGUGAUGACAUUUUCUUACUCAUAUUUAACAUGAAAUUGAUUUUUUUAAUUUCUUUCCAGGGUUUAGGAACGCGCAUUAGAGGAACAAAGCUUGGGUUUCUUUACAUCGUCCCAGAACAAAGCUUCCUGGUGUUAUUUGACAGACUAAAGCUUCCAGAGUGAUAUUAAUUAUGAAGGCAAGAGAUAAUGUAUUUGUAAUUUAUUUAAUUCUGAGAAUUUUUUGUUCUAUUUCCCUCUUUAUCCAUCCACACAUCCAUGAUCCAUCCAAUGAUAAUUUCAUUUGAAAAAAAAAAAUUAAAGAUCUGAAAGACAUCAUGUUGAUUUUUAUUAUUGCAGUAUUGUGGACCCAACUUUUUUCCAUGUCUAUCCACACUCAUCAACUUCAUUCAUCUGAAACUAUAUUUCUUUUCCAAAUCGGAAAAACCUGUUAAACUGUUAAAAAACUUGGAGUUACAUCACAAUCUGAUUUUGGGCAAAACUUUUUUCACUUCAUAAUACUUUUAAGUUAUGAUAUCUAUUGAUUCAAUUUUAUGUUUUCCAAUAAUGGUAAACAUUUAACCAAGUGUGUAUGCAUAGACAGUGAUGUGAACUAUCAAGAACUCGGGAAGGCUGGGAUAAAAAACAUUUUACUAUUUUAGAUCAAUUUUGUGUCAUGGUUUGGUUAACUGAAUGAAAAACUAUAUUAAUAACAGCUACGAUUUCAUCAACCAUUGAAAAAUUUAAACACAUGGAGAAAACAAAAGUAGUCAUUUCUGUUAAACAAAAGAUGCCUCUCCUACUUGUCAAAAGAUACCUCUCAUACUGUAGCGUAGUACAAGUCAUGUAGAGUAUGAAACACCUUAUCAUCAUCUACGUAGACUAAAGGUGAUCUGAGCACUAAAGGUUUUCCUACAAUUUCUUUUUGUUUUCUUACUAAAAACAUAUUAGAAUCUAGAUCAUGUGAUUAAUUUACUUUUAUUAUUUCCAAUUCAAGAAGCAAAGAAUAAUAACAAUAAUAGUAGUAACAAAUAGUUAUAUACUUAUUUUUAUUUCAAAACGAAAAAGUGAAGAAGAAAUUCAAAAUUCAAACCUCCCGGUUCCGUUUCCAUUCACUUCUGUUAGAAUAUCGACGCCGGUGAUUGCGCGCCGACGGGGAGCUAAUUGAGCACAGAUUCUGCCGGAAUUGGCAGGCGCAGGGGAAGAGGAGAAAGAGGGAAGAACUUAGGCUAACUAACGCAAGAUAGCCGUUAGUUUGAAUGUAAUUAUGAAAAGAUUAUUUCAUUAAUUUUCAAUGAAUGAUUACAAGACUAAUCUGUUUUAUUUAUACUAAAUUACAACAGAUUAAUUAACUCUAUUUUACUAACGGACCGAAUGUAACACAGACUAAGCCCAAUUGAAUACAUUCGUUUAUUAUUAGCCCAAUUGCAAUUAUUGAAACUUUUGCAGAGAUGACCCUUGACUUCAUUGAAUCCUUUCUUUGAGUCUUGGUCAUUUUAUCUGCACAGUAAAACUUAAUAAACAAUUAGCAAAUAGUUUUAUAAGUAUGGA
rnacentral:lncRNA from 1 species